AGAGUUUGAUCCUGGCUCAGGACGAACGCUGGCGGCGUGCUUAACACAUGCAAGUCGAACGAGAAUCUGUGGAAAGAGGAUUCGUCCAAUUGAAGCAGAGGACAGUGGCGGACGGGUGAGUAACGCGUGAGGAACCUGCCUUUCAGAGGGGGACAACAGUUGGAAACGACUGCUAAUACCGCAUGACACAUAGGUGUCGCAUGGCACUUAUGUCAAAGAUUUAUCGCUGAAAGAUGGCCUCGCGUCUGAUUAGCUAGUUGGUGAGGUAACGGCCCACCAAGGCGACGAUCAGUAGCCGGACUGAGAGGUUGAACGGCCACAUUGGGACUGAGAUACGGCCCAGACUCCUACGGGAGGCAGCAGUGGGGAAUAUUGGGCAAUGGGCGCAAGCCUGACCCAGCAACGCCGCGUGAAGGAAGAAGGCUUUCGGGUUGUAAACUUCUUUUAAGAGGGAAGAGCAGAAGACGGUACCUCUAGAAUAAGCCACGGCUAACUACGUGCCAGCAGCCGCGGUAAUACGUAGGUGGCAAGCGUUGUCCGGAUUUACUGGGUGUAAAGGGCGUGUAGCCGGGAGGGCAAGUCAGAUGUGAAAUCCACGGGCUCAACUCGUGAACUGCAUUUGAAACUACUCUUCUUGAGUAUCGGAGAGGCAAUCGGAAUUCCUAGUGUAGCGGUGAAAUGCGUAGAUAUUAGGAGGAACACCAGUGGCGAAGGCGGAUUGCUGGACGACAACUGACGGUGAGGCGCGAAAGCGUGGGGAGCAAACAGGAUUAGAUACCCUGGUAGUCCACGCUGUAAACGAUGAAUACUAGGUGUGCGGGGACUGACCCCCUGCGUGCCGCAGUUAACACAAUAAGUAUUCCACCUGGGGAGUACGAUCGCAAGGUUGAAACUCAAAGGAAUUGACGGGGGCCCGCACAAGCGGUGGAUUAUGUGGUUUAAUUCGAAGCAACGCGAAGAACCUUACCAGGGCUUGACAUCCUACUAACGAGAUAGAGAUAUGUUAGGUGCCCUUCGGGGAAAGUAGAGACAGGUGGUGCAUGGUUGUCGUCAGCU
rnacentral:rRNA from 1 species